rnacentral:rRNA from 1 species
GGACGCACCCUUCGGGGUGAGUGGCAGACGGGUGAGUAACGCGUGGGAACGUGCCCUUUGGUUCGGAAUAGCCCUUGGAAACGAGGAGUAAUACCGGAUAAGCCCUACGGGGGAAAGAUUUAUCGCCGAAGGAUCGGCCCGCGUCAGAUUAGCUAGUUGGUGAGGUAAUGGCUCACCAAGGCGACGAUCUGUAGCUGGUUUGAGAGGAUGAUCAGCCACACUGGGAUGAGACACGGCCCAGACUCCUACGGGAGGCAGCAGUGAGACUCUUGGACAAUGGAGCAACCCUAUCCAGCCAUGCCGCGUAAAUAUAAGGCCUUAAGUUGUAAAUUCCUCA